AUGGAAAACUGGACUACCAAAAGAAGGUGGAUUUGGCAGUUGCUGCUCCGUGAGAUGAGUUUAUUUGCCUGCUCAAAAUUCGGACCUGGCAAGGAUGAAUCCAGAUGGAACGAAAAAGCUCUAAUGGCGCCUUUCCUCUCUGAUGGACUAGAAGUGACUAAUUUUCUAGAAAUUAUUGUUAACAUAAAUCAGCUGAAGAUUCUUUGUGUUCGGUGCCGACAGCUGAUUAACCUUGGCCGAAAUCUCUGUUUUUCUUUGUCCCUCCUAUGCGCACUGAGUUUUGCAGUGGGCAUAUUGGCUGUACUUGUAGUGUACAAAAAUAAUGUAUUUUUUCCAAUAACAUUUCUGUAUUUGGAAUAA
rnacentral:rRNA from 1 species